CUAUACAUAUAAUAAAAUCGUAGAAAAGUGCUGUCUGUACAUUGAAAAUAAAAAUAAAAAAAAUAGCAGGGGUUAUUGUUAUGUCGAUGUCGAACCCAAAAAUGUAAUUAACUUUUUUUUGUCUGUUUGUCUGUUUGUCUGUUCGUCUGUGCGCGCUAAUCUCAGAAACGGUUGAUCCGAGUUGGAUGCGGUUUUCACGAAUAUAUUGUGGGAUGCUUAAAUUUACAUUUAGUGUUUGUUUCAUGUCAAUCGGUUCAUAAAUAAAAAAGUUAUGUCAAAUUAAAGAAUCACGUCGAACAUUCUAUGCUUAUACCAUUAAUCUCCGCAACUAUUUGACGGAUUUGGUUAAAAUUUGGUACAGAUAUAGUUUAGAACCUUAGAAAGGACAUAGAUAUAUUUUUAUUUCAAAAAUCAAAAAAUAAAAAUAAGAAAUAAAUUAUCUAUAUAUAUAAAAAUCAAUUGCUAUUCCUUUGUCUCGCUAAAACUCGAGAACGGCUGGACCGAUUUGGCAAAUUUUGGUCUUGAAUUAUUUGUAGAAGUCCAGGGAAGGUUUAAAAGGUGAGAAAAUAUCAAAUAAUUGACGGAAAAACCCUAAAAACUGCCCUUUCCUUUAUCCCAUACAAACGUUUUCUAACUAAUACGUAGAGUCAAUUUGAGCUUUAUUGCUAUUGGAUAAAGAUCAUUGUUGGAUAAAUGCUAUUGGAUACUAAAAAACAAAUGCUAUUGAAUAAGUGUGCGUUGGAGACUUGGAGCACAGAAUCCCUACUAAUAUUAUAAAUGCAAAAGUAACUCUGUCUGUCUGUAAUUACGCUUUCACGCCUAAACCAGUGAACCGAUUUUGAUGGAAUUUAGUACUGAGAUAGAAUAGACCUUGAUACUUUUUAUUGCAAAAAAAUAGCGGAGAAUGGGUAAAAAUAAGGGAUAAAUGGUAAUAUGGAAAUUCGUCAUUUUAAAAGCUGUAACAGUAAAACUUUGUAUUUAGAUACUUAAUGAGGAACGAAAGAACAUGGUCUACUUUUUAUUGCAAAAAAAUAGGGGAGAGUGGGUAAAAAUAGGGGAUGAAUGGUCAUAUGGAAAUUCGUCAUUUUUAAAGCUGUAACAGUGAAAUUUUGUAUUUAGACACUUAAUGAGGAGCGAAAGAACAUAGACUACUUUUUAAUAAAAAGGGUAGAAGGCGUAGUAUGUUUGAUAGAGGAGAUUAAUGUUUGCUUGAAAAUUCGUCAUUUUCGUUAAUACGUUGCCUGUGGCUUCACUCGCGUUCGAUUCUUAUUUAAAUACACAUAUACUUAUUUAAAUCGCCAAUAUCCCUACUACCAUACUAAUGUUAUGAAUGCGAAAGUAAUCCUGUUUGUGUUGAGGUUACGCUUGCACGAAUGUUUUUUUUUUUUGGAAUAUAACAACGAAACAAUGUAUUUUUUUAUUGAUAGGCAAUAUAUAGGAAAUUAAAGGAUAAUAAUAUAGAUAACCUUGGCUACUUUUCAUCAUGAUUAUAAAAUGAUGAAUCGGCGGUCGUGAUUUCUUUGGAAUACAUAUCUUUAAAAAUGCUAACAGUAACAUAUUUUCAAGUACCUAAUUCACAUUUUAGAUGACAUACGGCAGCAAUUUGACCACUAACACCACUACGCAGACGAAGUCGCGGGCAAAAGCUAGAUUCAAUAAAUUUUCAUUUGUACAUGUCAAAUAUUUGUUGUUUCUAAAUUCAAAUUCUGUAAAUAAUGAUUGACAUUUAUGCAUAAACGAUGAAAAGGGUGAAUAAACAAUUGUCUGUAUUUUUUUUAAUCUAUUGAAAAUGUUGAAAAGUGCAUUAAGCAUUAAUAGAAAUUCCUCAAAUAUUAAUUAUGCGUGCGUUCAGAAAUAAUGACAAAUUAUCAACAGUUACGCGUGUGUUCAGAAAUUUAUUUUGUGUAAAUUAAAGUUUCUAUUCACGUUUUCGAACAAACGAUGCUCUUUCAAUGUAGUCUAUUGGUGUGAAUGACAUUGACAUUCGUAUAGCGCGUUUUUUAAAAUAUGCAAAAUUAAAUGUAUAUUUUUCAAUAUUUCUGAGAGAUUAUCUUAAUAUUUCUUCGAGUUUUAAAGACUAAGAAGAUUUUUAUUUGCUAAUAAGUGUUUGUUAAUCAAGUUGGAAUUUCGUUUUUAACAAUGCUACCAACCAGACGUACAAGCUUAGGCCGCAGAACUCGAAAUACGGCAAGUCAAAGAAAUAUAAGAGCAAAUCAAACUGAUGAGCAUCGCGAAGCGCGAAAUGAACUUGAACUGAAUCGAUAUCAAGAUAGAAAUGUUGUGUUUAAUCCCCACAAAGCUGCAUUCAGUUAUAAUGUGGCAAUUGAUUACAGUUCAGAGCAAAUUGUUGCUAUUGGACUAAUGAAUAUUGUGUGUACACAUUGGGAUUGAAAUUAAAAAAAUGAAGCCUCUGGAUUGUGUUGCGCCAGCGGCCAAGUCAAAUUGACGCCAUUGGUACCGCCACCAGAGCCACUACAUUCAUUGGUUCAUUUUUUGACUCAUAUCCAGCAGUACAAUAAUUGCUUUCAAAUGACAUCAUUUGGGGCAACAAAAGUUAUACGAGACAAUUUUUUGCCUACUUUUAGCAAAUUCAGGGAUUCAAAUAUAUCAUCAAACAGGUUCCUUAUUGCCAGUGCCUGUUGAAGACUAUACAUUUUUGCAAAUAUAUUUUAUGGACAAUUCAGCAAAAAAAGUCGAUCAGCGUUGCGCACACAACAACUCAGUAAAGAGAUCCAUUGUGAUGAACAACUUCAAACAUUUUUCCUUUAACACAAUGAAUUAGUUGCAUUAGACCGAUGCAUUAGACAUUCACAAAUGCAUUAGACCGCAUGCCAUCAGAUAAUCAUCAGAGCCGAUAAGGCGCCUGCAGGACAGUGAAAUGAUUGAAUCCUAUGAAAUAAACACUAUUAUGAAAAUAUAUUUUGUUUUUUUUUUUAAUUAGUAAAGUCCUUUUCAGGUAAGUAUAGUGAGAUCAGGAAAUUAUGGAUUCAUUUUUAUAUGGAGGAUAUUUAUAGAUUCCAAUUCAAAUUGAAUAGGGACUCAUACAUAACUCAGCUAUACAAAAUAAAGUAGAGCAUCAUUGCUACGCGAAAGCGGUACGAAGUUCGCUGGGUCAGCUAGUUUAUAAAUAA